rnacentral:rRNA from 1 species
AUGGAUCCUAACCGUUUCAUUGCCGGUGGCGCAGUUUGUGGCAGAUUAGAUCGGAUUCCUCACCUCCUCCCCGCUCGCUCCCAGAUCAGCUCGCCGCCGUCCUCCUCCACCCCCACCCCCUCUCGCGAUUCAGCACUAGCUCGGCGGUCGUGGAUCCUCGCCUCCUUCCCGGCCGUCCGCUUUUGGUUCCGCGAACAGGCCACCACAGUUCUUCGUUCUUCAGAUAAAUAUAAAUGUUAA